AAUAAAACCAAAACAAUCUUUCUAUGAGUCUAAGUUAUGAACCUCAUCAUUGCCACUAAAAUGUCUUUUCAUGUUGACAAUGGAUCAGUUUUUAUACUGCUAAAUAGGAGUAUUCUAGAGGGGAAAGGCUUGUAUAUAAAUUACACCCAUACAUAAUGCAUCAUCAACACCUGCUCUGUCACUGCAGCCAUCUAUCUGCACAGAGCGUGCAAAUGCUGGGCUAUCUGGGUCUAUAUACACUUUGUCUUACAUGUAAAAACAAGGAACUGCAUUGCAUGCAUCAUCAUCAUUUUAACAUUGUCCCUGUACAUGAUCAAAGACAUAUAUAAAAUGGUGAAAUUACAGCACAAAUGAGACUACAACGCACAUAGCUGCUCCCUAAUCUAAACCAAUUUUGUAAUUUGAGGUUAUUCUUCAGAUCUGACCACAUCAUAAACUAUAGUUCAGAAGUUUUAUGUCAGUAAGAUUUUUUAUUUUAUUCAUCAAGGUUGCAUUAAAUUGACCAAAAGUGACAGUAAAGACUUUUACAUUGACAAACAUUUUCCAUUUUAAAUAAACGCAGUCCUUUUGAGCUUUCCAUUCAUUUCUAUGCAAGAAUCCUGAAAAAAAUAUAUCACCGUUUCCACAAAAAAAUAAUAAGCAGCACAACUGUUUUCAACAUUGAUAAGAAAUGUUUCUUGAGCACCAAAUCAGCAUAUUAGAAUGAUUUCUGAAGGAUCACAAAGACUGAAAUAAUUGCUGCUAUAAAAUUCAGCUCUGCCUUCACAGGAAUAAUUUACAGUUUAAUAUAGAACAGUAAUUGUAAAUUGUAUAAUUUCAAAAGAUUACUGCUUUACUGUAUUUUUGAUCAAACAAAUGCAGCCUUGGUGAGAAUAAGAGACUUCUUUCAAAAGCUUAAAAAAUAUUUUAUAUAACUCCAAACUUUUGAAUGGCAGUGUAAACAAGAAAAAAAGCAAAAAAAAAAAAAAAAAGCCUACUGUUGACUGUAACAUGGGUUUUAUAUUUAGAUAUGUUACACAGUUUGCACUUUGGUUUCAUUAUACUUCCUACUAGGGUUUGACAGUACAACUGUAUACACCAUCUCAAGUGUUACAAAAAAAAAAAAAAAAAAAAAAAGGCAUGGUUAUUUCACAUAUACAAUGCCCUCUAAGGGUUUGAAAAUGACGUGAUAUUGAAUAAUAUCAGCACAAACCCUCAUUUCUUAGCAUAAAUCCAUUGAGGUACCUUUUAAUUAUUAUUGCUAUUCUUCAUUGAUGAUUUUCAUCUUGAUUACACAAUAAUGGCAAUAUAAGUGACAGCCAGGCGUGCCCCUUUGGCAGCUGAUUACUGGAUUAAACUGGCCCAGGUUUCAUUUUUAAAGAUUACUGGGUCAAUACACCUUUAUUGUUUUACUGGCUGAUUGCCAAUUAAGUUUAAUAGACAACAGACCAAUUAGAACACAGUUUAGAGAUGCUUUAAAUGGUUCUAGAACUUUGUUCUGAAUUCGUUUUUAUUAUUAUUUAAUAAGAUGUUUUAUUAUAGUCUGCAUUGGCCACAAUCGUCACAAUUUGAUAAGGAUUUUUGCUGAUAUAGUUCAACUCCACUUUGCCCAGUGUGUUUCAAAACUUCGAGGCAAGGGAAUUAUUAAACAAAUUUACUGUAUAAUGACAAUGAAAUGUUGCAAUAUAGUAUUACUCGUACCACCACUCCCACUUGCUGCUACAAGGACCAACUUGCAGCAAUUUCAUGAACUUAAGAGUCUUCCUUGAGUGUUUCAAACACCUUUUCAUGCCACUGCUUCCCUAAAGAGAUCAAGUAGAGGUCAUCUCACUCUCCACCUCUCUCAGUGGGGACAAAAUAGAGAAAGGAGGGGAAGCCAUGGAGAGAAUCAAGUGACUCUGUUCCACUUGCCAAGUUCCUACUCCUGCUACAAAACCACUCCAUCUAAAGAGUCGGCAAAGCGGUCAAUAUCAGUAAGAGAGUUCAUAAAAAAUAAAAUGCUGUCAAUAAAGCUUGGCCAUAAUGACCUUUAUAAUCACUGUGAGUAACAUAUUUACUACAAUCCACUGGUGUAUCACUAUAAACUGCAUCUUCAAUGCAUUUCAGUAGCCACAGGUCAGGUCAGGUCCAUCAAGUCAAGGUUCAGACCCUGUGAAUAUUUUAAUUGCAGAAUGAAUGGGGAUUAUUACUUUGGUCAGACCAUUUAAUUUCUGUUGUCUUUCAUUUCAGAAAAAAAAAAAACAUCUUUCAGAUAGAGUUACCGCUCAGCACAGCUGUGUCAACCAAAACUGCAUUAUGGGUAAGGCCUUUCGCUUGAAACCUGACUGGGUUCAUAAUCAGAAAUUACAUAAACAGGGAAUCCUGGGGUAAAGAAUCCUCUCACUAGUCAUGAGCGCUGGGGACAGCAUGCUAAAGGGGGAGGAGGAGUAUAUGGGCAGGGUUAUGUAAGCAUGCUUCAAUACCCUGUUUCUAUCAACACUGCAGCCAUCUGCACAGGGCAUGAAUCCUCCCAUGAAUUAUAUAUUUAUGCUGAGCUAAGAUAUGAGCUAAUGUGCCAUGAUGGACUGUGGAAACACUCACGUUUCCAUCCACUGAGAAAUAGAAUCUGCAAAAAUAUCACAAUGUCAAACAAGGACUUGUGAUCUAGAAUCCAAUGACCUUCAAAAACAAUUUAGUUUUUUACUUCAAUGAGUUAUUCUUACUGCAAACUGUACGCAAUCAAACAACAUGCUUCACAUGCAGUGAGCAUAAGGCACACAGCCACUUUACUCCUACACUACUGCACAAUAGACGAUAUUCUGGCAUUUACUGCACUAGAAUCCAGUUGAUGCCGUCACCUAUUUUAAGAACCUUUUAAACAUAAUAGUGGGUUCUACACAACUAUUUCCUUCUAAACUCGUUUAACCUAAAUUAAAGGUACACUAUGUAACUUUUUUGGCUCAAAAUUAACAAUUUAAAUAAGUCAAUACAUCAAUCAUUCAUCCAAAUGUGUUUUUGUCUUUCCCUUUCCCUGAUUCACUAUAUUAAGCCUAUUAUAAAUGUUUAUAUUUUAGACCUUAGACAUGUUUUUUGCAGGAAAUUGCGUGCAUACAUCACUCGCCUGUGCGAGUCGCAUCAUAUCUGUAAAUGGAGAACAUGUUGAGUAAUGUGCCGCGUGUGUGUGCCGCGUGGCGUGUUUAUGGCGCGUGUAUGGCCUGUGGCGUGUAUGGCCUGUGGCGUGUAUGGCCUAUGGCGUGUAUGGCCUAUGGCGUGUGGCGUGUAUGGCCUAUGGCGUGUGGCGUGUAUGGCCUAUGGCGUGUGGCGUGUAUGGCCUAUGGCGUGUGGCGUGUAUGGCCUAUGGCGUGUGUGUGGCGUGUGUGCGGCAUGUGGCGUGUAUGGCCUAUGGCGUGGGAGUGGCACAGGUUAGUUGUCAUAGCGAGCGAGAAAGGUUGGCAUGUAGUACAUUAAAUCUCGAACUUCCAGGGAACCACCCUUUUUAAAAGAAUGUGACAAAGCUCGUAAUAAAAUAAGAAGGUGAGAAGGUGCUUUUCAGAAAAGGUGAGAACUGAGGGAUUUGAAAUGUUGUAAAAGUGAAGCAGAUAUGGUAUUUUUAUUACUCAACAUGUGAGUAAGGUAUUUUAUUGAACAGAUAAAUUGCCAUAUGUAGCUCUCUAACAGAAUUAAUUGUUAAGCAUUAUCUAUUGUGAAGUCAUUUUUAUUAUGGUUGUUGUGCUGGAAUUACAAUGUCUAUUUAAUUUAGGUUAAGAAAGAGUUUCUAUUAAAGAUACAGGAACGUUUUCAGCUAGUCUGCUUGAGAUCCUUUCCAUCUAAACUGGUUACAUCUCUUAAGCCUAGUAGUGAAUGAUUUAUGAGCAGUAGGAUAAUCUUAUUUGUGAGAAAGAACCAUAUUCAUCCGCAGUCAUGAAGCACAACCAAAACAUUGGGUCUCAUUCACUACGCAUACGCAAAAAUUUGUGCGCGAAAUGUGCGUAGGAAUGAUUUUAAGACAUCAAAAAUUUCGUACUAAAAUCAUUCUUAAUGUGUGAAAAUAUAGGAACAACUGAAAGCACUCCUACGCAAAAAGAACGCACUUAGCCUACUCUGUACGGCCUUAUAAUCAUGUUAUAUAAAUAUGAAAUUUCAUCCUAGCAAGACUAUAAUUAUAUUAAAGUAAGUUAAAUUAAUUGUAUUAUAUAAUCCAUAUAUAAAAUUAUUAAACAAUACAAUUUAAUCUUAAAAACAUUAUUAUAUAGCCUACAGUGAUUAUGUUCAGCUUCAAAGUUGCUCUGAAUAACGCAGAUAUAUGUGUACAGCUAGCUCAUGAGAGGUCUGUAAUCUGGGUCUGUAUGAAAGGUGUUUAUUGUGAGAAUGGCACGCUUGGCAUUGCUCUAGGACCAGGUGAGAGCACGUCUUUAAACAGCGGCACGUCUGACGAGAGUGACAUAAGCCUGUUAGGAAAGCGUGCGAGGAAAGCCCUUAUAUGGACAUUGUUUGGGCGCGUUUUAUGCAAAUGAUUAACCUCGUGCACACGGCCGCUCAUUUAGAAUACUCCAAAUUCACUAAAAUAAGAACGAGGUUAAGAACAAAUUCAUGUGCAUAUGCAUGUGUUGUGAAUUCUCCUGUGCGCACAAAUCCGAAAUAAUCCACGCAAUUAUUAGUGAAUGAGACCCAAUGUUCUUCAGCAGGCCGUUUUUGGUUUUUAACAGCUAGAGGGCCAAAAGUUACAUAGUGCACCUUUAAGUUAAUUUGUGGAAGCGUUUGUUCAAAAGUUUGGGGUUAGUAAGAUGUUUUUGAAAGUCUCUUAUGCUCACUUAUGAUGCAUUUAUGUGACCAAGAAUACAUUUCCAGUCUUCAGGUGACACAUAAUCCUUCAGAGAUUUUUCUAUACUGUAGGGAUGCAGAGAUAUGAAAACUUUGUCCAAUGUGAUAAUUCUUUAUAUUUGAAAGCCGAUAACCGAUAUAUUGGCCGAUAAAUCUAAAUACAAAUUUGUAUAUAAUUUAAGAGCCUGAUUACAAAAACAAAAAGUUUCACCAUUAAAAGCCAUGUCCCAAGCAAACAAUUAUAAUGUCCUCAUUAUAAUUUUAUGUAGCCUAUAUGAAAGACAUGUUGCAAUUAACUGUAUAUUCGUUUUUGAAGUGACUUCAUAUUUCAAGCAAUUCAAAACCAUCAUGGUGAACAGUGCGCAUCUGAAGUGUCUCAGCUGAAGGAAAUAAUCCAUUAUCAGCUUUGAUAAAUCAGGCAAAUUUUCUUAUUGGGCCGAUAACGAUAACAUUAAAAAUUAACAUAUCGGACGAUACCGAUAUGGUGGCCGAUAUAUCGUGCAUACCUACUGUACUGAUGUGGUGCUCAAGAAACUUUUUUAUUAUUAUUAUCAAUGUUAAAAAUAGUUGUGCUGAUUGAUAUUUUUUAAUACUUGUCAGGAAUCUUUGAUAUAAAGUUCAAAAGAACAGCAUUUAUUUGAAAUAGAAAUCUUUUGUAACAUUAUAAAUGUCUUUACUGUCACUUCUGAUCAAUUUAGCGCAUCCUUGAUAAAUAAAAGAAUUUAAAAAAAUUAUAAUUUGGUUACAUAUUCUACACCAUGGUUCCAAGAGCCAUAGUAUUUCAUUUCUGUCCCUGCCAUCAACUCUGAAUGGAAUUGAUCAAACUUUCAUCAAUUACUUGAGUGCAAUCCAAAGUGACUUAUUUGCCAUUCAGUAACAUUUUGGCACAACUUUUUGAAUCUUAUCAUUUACAUUGCUAUAUUUAUUACCAUAUUUAUAUAAACAACCUUAAAAAAAAAAUUGCAAGGUAUAAUGCAUUUCCAUGUCAACUGUGUCAAUGCAACAUUAAAUAAAAAGUUUACCCCAAAAUUUUAAUUGUCAUUUACAAACUCUCAAAUCAUUCCAAAUUUACAAUGAGAAUAAAAUGACAGAAUUUGUACGAACUAUUCCUUUAAACCUUACAACUACGAAAGGAAAAGGCCAUGUCAACCCACGUGUAUCUAAGCCUCUACACAAAGCAUGUGGUCAGGCUAUCAUAUGGCAAGCAAUCAUUCUCACAUGACCCUUUGAUUUUCAGUUGUCAAGGACAUGUGCAAACACUGUACACUUGUGCUCCACACUAGAAGGUCAGUAGUUAAAAAAUCCAUGAGGUGAGCAUGUUCACAUGGAGUCCUCGCAAACCAUUUGAGCAAAUGUUCUUACACUCUUCCCUACGGACAACCUUAAAAAGUAGCUCAAGAGUGACACAGAGAAAAAGUGUCUGAAAUGAGCAAUUUCAUGAAGAUGCUGCACCAUGGAGAAACUAAAAAUAAAUUAGUCAAAUUACUAACCAGCUGGGUUGACAACAGCAGCUCAGAUGCAUCUCUAAAUAGUGGAAGACAACGCAAUACUUAAAAGUAAAAAUUUUUUAAUCCAAAGAAUAUAAUUAUAAAAAAGGAAAUAUAUAUAUAUAUUUAUUUUUUUUCAGGAAAUUAUAUUUAUAGCCUAAAUUUAUAUUUAAAGUUUAGAAAGAGAUUUAUAAAUGAGUAUUGCGGGCUUCUCAGCUCUCAUUACAACUCAUAAAACCUCCUGGCAAAAGUCAUAUCCAACCUUGUGACUUUAAUGAGAGAGAACAUGCAAUUGUGCUUGGCAUUGUGCCUGAACUUAAGUCAAUCUGAUAUGCAAGACGAUUUCUUGAUACAUGAAUGCUAAACUGUGGCCGACACUUCACCUAUAUUAGAAGCUCACUGAAAGACCCAUAAUAAUCCCAAACCGCCUUAGGGAAGAAGACAUACCAACAAAACCGUUCAGUGCCAAAGCAUCACAUCUCCUAUUAAACUUGGCAAUGCAAAUGGUUUAAUGUGGCACACCUCAAGUGCAAAAGGUUGGUUAUGUCAUUAUUAAAUGUAUUCAUUCGGAUGCCAUGCAUGAGUACUGCUGUUAAUUAGGACUAACCUAUUCAGGGUAAAGUGUAAAGGUGACCUGGAGGACAUGAGGGCUGGUGUACGCCAAGUAAACCCCUAACAUUUGGACAAUCCUCCAUGACAACUGAUUAACUAACACAGAGGGACAGCUACUAGUAACACUUCAUUCACAGUUGUGCGUGAAGUUAUGCCCUUCAGCUGUCCCACGUUUUAAAGUAACAACCUGAGACGCAUGUUUCACCAGAUAACCAGCAAUCUAUCAGUACAGUAAGUCCAAACGAUAGUUCAGUUGCUACAUCAAAGAAGACAUUUAAUUCGAUGCGGCCUCCAUAUCAAAUAAAACUAGGGUGAAAAUAAUGUUAUACAGUGUAAUAGUCAAAAAAUUGACGUAGAUAAUGUGCAUGUCGGUCAUUUACACCUUCACUUCAUGGUCAGCACUCAGUCAUUAGUAAAAUACGACGUAAGUUACUAACCAGGCCGACUGACCUUGAAAUGAUUCACACUGCAGCACAAGCAAAACCCUAUAUGAAGACUCAUAUAACCGGUUACCGAAUUAUCUAGCAUCACAAAGCAGUUCGAUUAAAUGUUUACAUCGUCUACAGCAGUAUUUUAGGCGCGAAUGGUUUCAUAAGUCAUCCCGCUGCCUGCGUAAACCAUUUGAGAGAUUAAAAAAAAAGCCCACAGCCAAACGACUCUCUUACGACGCCGUCAAAUUGUUAAAACACUCAAUGAUAUGAUUAAAACCGGAUUAGCCUUUUAGAAACGGUCUCUUAGGCACAACUGAUUAAAUGAAACUAAACUAUCGUAUUAUGUUCAUUUUCUUUAAAAGGCAUCCAACAAGCGAACAAAGGAGCGCGAGCACGGCGCGCGACUUUUGCCUAUGCGGCCGCGCGAUUCCUGCUGCACGUACAACGUCACCGCGAAAUAACGUUCUUCUGUGGAGUACUGAAGCCGCGAAGAGAUUGAAAUUUGCAAGCUGGCGGACUGAAAGAAAUACAAGAGUCCGAAACCGGCCGGCGUCUUUCGACAUAAGUAUGAGCACUUCCAGGUUCUACGUCCAAACGGCGACUGAGUACUGGCCGAUGCCUGUUCAUGUGAGCAGCACGAGGCAUAUGUGAGAUACAUUGUUGGUCUUACGGGUUUGGAAUGACAUGAGGUGACUACUAAUCUAAACCAGUGGAAGAAUGACACAGACUAUGAGGAGGCUAUGGGGAUCUGAAUGCUGCAACGAUGGGUCUGUCCUCAUCAAACCUACUUCUGAAUAUAACAGAAGAAGCGAAAUCACACUGUGUUAAAGCAUUGCAGUUCUGCAGUAGCAGUCUAUAGAAGCCACGGAAUAAAAGAAUAAAAAAGGUUUUCUCGUAGUCAGCCGGAUCUGGGACAUAUCCAGAUCAGAAGGAGGACCUGCACCUAAACAUGACCACAACACAUCCCUGAAGUGUCAGCAGAGAUUUUGUCAACUAGACCAUCCCAUGUAAAGGCCUCAUCUACAUGACAGCCAGUGGCACAGAUCCCCAACAAAACCGUUUCCAUACCAGCGUGAUGAAUCCGAUCUUCAACCAGAUGGAAUUGGAUUAAAUAUUUUGAAUGUUCUGAUCCAGUCUGACUUCUGACUUGUAAUGCUGCCUGAAUCAUAAAUAAUGCACUGUUCGUUUGUUGGCUGGCUCCCCGACUGAGCCUGGUUUCUCCAAUAUUUAUUUUUUUUAUCUUGUCCAUUCUGUCACCUGAUGGCUCCUUACCGCUGUUGCAUCUGGCUCGCUUAGUCGGGGAUAUUUAACACUCAACAAUAUUACUGAUCUGCCUGCAUUGACACCAUUAUAUGAGAACUGAACUGAGCUGGAUGAUGACAUGACUGUAUAGAUAAAUGAACUAAAUUAAUAACUAAUGAUUUUUACAACGGAAAUGAAUCAAUACUGAACUUCUUAAGCUGGACAAUGACACUAUUUUUGUCUAGAGCUGUUGUACAGCCCAAAUUAUGUUCCUGUUAUCACUGUAAAGCUGCUUUGAAACAAUCUGCAUAGUAAAAAAUGCUAUAUAAAUAAAGGUAACUUGACUAAAAGUGCAUGAUUACUGCUGCGCUCUAUUACAGUCACUGUGUUUGUAAACCUUUUUUUUUUAUUAAAAAAUA